CCGCCGGCGAGAUCUCCGGCCUCGUCGCGCUCCCCCCGGAGGCGGGCUCCUGCGGGCUUCCCUGUUGCGUGGCGCCUCCGCGUCUUCCUCCUCUACAAGGCGGCGACGCCCCUCCACUUUCACGCCCUCCAAGGUGGCCCCACUUGGCCGCCGAUCCGAAGGAAUUACAGCACCGGACUGAUAAUCAAUGAACAGAAGGGCAUGCAGUGCUGCUAAUCAAGUUGCCUGGUGCUUCUGCAGCUUCCUGCACGGUAGAUAUGGUGGCCAGCUUUCUUCUCAUUAGUCAUGCCUGUGUCAAUUGCUCGGUCAUCUAGAUUUUAAUCUCAGCUGCUCUAGCCUCCACGGUAAGGCUCCACAGUUCCUUUAUUUAUUUUACAGAAGGGAUGCAAUUGUACUCCCAUCAUAUUAGAUGACCAAAUGCAAAUAAUUUGUUUUAUUUAUGUACUUUCCAGUCUAGACUUGAAUGGAUUUCGAUCCGCAGCACAGGCUGACUUGCAAGUGAAAUGCAGUGAAUCUUUUUCCCCAACCAUCCAUCAUAUUCAUAGAUUUUUUUUUCUAGAGAGCUGCUUACCAUCAGGCUUCCCACCAACACAAUGAGGCAAGAUAGAACGGGCGGGGGAAGAAAAACUAGGAGCGAGCCACAUUCAAGAGGGUUGUCAAAGGCCCUCUCAAUAGAGCUAUUUUGUCAUUGAAUCGAUGGAGGGAAGACUCCUUCGGUAGGUGCCCCCGACUCUUCCAGUUUCUGGGUGGGAUCUUAAGGCUUAAUCUCUGAUUGCGCAGGAUUCAUCUUUGUUUGGUAACCUCAGACCCUGAACCAGGAGUUGGAAGCGCCUUUGCCAGACUUUCCAAUUGAACACGAUGCGGGCGAUGCAACUCGGCAAGGAGAAGGCUGAACCCUGGUGCUACACUACAGUAGAAGCUUUGGCAGUUUACCAUGGCUUGAUGUUAUAGUUGUCAUGCUAAAGCCGUUGAUAGCUACUUCACUUGACGAGCUAAGUAGAAAGACACUUACAUUGAACUUAACACAGGGUCUUCUAACUGAUAUUUGGUAGAGAAGGAAUGAGCCGGAACUAUACCACUUCUUUUAUCAGAAGAUUAUUUAACACUGAUAAAGGCUUUUCUUCCGCAGUCCAUUGAUGACCGAUUCCCUGCCUUUUACUGUUUCCCCUGUACACCCAUGGAAUAUAUAAACCACGAUUCUCCAAACCUUUGUUACAUUGGCAAUAAACAGUAGAUAAUCUUCACUUGAAACACACACAGUUAUCAGGGGAUGAGCAAAAACAAAUAGAUUCAAAUGCCUGGAACAAAGCUGAACAGAAACGUCCGAAAGGUAUUUUGUAUUUGUUUUAUGUAUUAUCUUUUGAGGGGUUCCAUUCUCGUAGAGUAUUUUGUCCUUAAAAAGUGCAUCAGCCGUAUUUAAAGUUCCGUUCUGUACUUUGAAUUAUCAAACACGUUGAACUAAUCUCAGUCAAAAAUGUUGAAAGCCUUGUGGCAAUAAUAAGUUGUGAAAUUUUAAAUAAUUUUUUGCUAUCACUGCCACAGCCAACACCUGAUACUAUCUGUACAUAGCUGUUGUGUAAUAUUAAAACUAACCCAGACAUUUUAUGUACUUCUCAAGAGGAGUUGACCAGAGCUGUUGCCAAGUUGGAAAAAACCAAGCAGAAACUGGCAGCACUAAAAAUACAGGGAGACAAUAAGCAAGGGACUCCAAUCCUUGUUCCAACACUGGGAAACAAAAAUGCAACUGCAAAGAAGGUGAGAGAUAAACAAAGAGAACUGCAAGAUCUUGAAGCUACCCACAAAGAGUUAAUGGAAUUGAGUUCAAAUCGUUUGGAGGAAAUUAGGAGACUGCACAAAGAGAAUCGAAACUUUGAACAAGACAGCUACAUUUCAUGUUCACAGUAUUACCCAACACAUUGUGUGAUUGAAGAAUUCUACAUGAUGUUUUGGUCGCGCCGAGAUGGUGUCAGCCGGUGAUGGCGGCGACGCGGCUUGCAGUGACCUCAUCUGCGUGACUGGAGGCAACGGCUUCAUCGGCUCGGGGCCUGUCCGCUUCCUCCUCGGUCGCAUCAUGCAGAACCUGGUGAUGCUGGCGCUAUACCCUGUAUGUGAGUGAGGCUGUCCAACAUGUGCAAAGAAAUAUGGAAUGGCUUCUCCAGGGAGGCACUUAAGGACCUAUGCUGGUUCACUAGAAUGCCUUGCCUUCUGCAAUCAUAAUUUAGUGUGGAUUGGAAUACUUAAAUUUCAACAAUAUCCCCUUUACAGCGUUAUAAUACAUUAUGAGUAUUUUGCUUUUGGAGAGGUUUCACAUAUGUUGGUCAUUCAAAUCUUGAUGCAACAAACCUUUGCUA